rnacentral:rRNA from 1 species
AGCAGCCGCGGUAAUUCCAGCUCCAAUAGCGUAUAUUAAAGUUGCUGCAGUUAAAAAGCUCGUAGUUGAAUUUCGGGACCGAUAUAUCGGUCGUGCCUCGGUACGUACUGGUAUUUUCGGUUUCUACCUUCUGAUGAACCUUGAUGUCACUAAUUUGGUGUCUUGGGGAAUCAGGACUGUUACUUUGAAAAAAUUAGAGUGUUUAAAGCAGGCUCACGCUUGAAUACAUUAGCAUGGAAUAAUGAAAUAGGACGUUUGAUUCUAUUUUGUUGGUUUCUAGGAUCGACGUAAUGAUUAAUAGGGAUAGUUGGGGGCAUUAGUAUUCAAUUGUCAGAGGUGAAAUUCUUGGAUUUAUUGAAGACUAACUACUGCGAAAGCAUUUGCCAAGGAUGUUUUCAUUAAUCAAGAACGAAAGUUAGGGGAUCGAAGACGAUCAGAUACCGUCGUAGUCUUAACCAUAAACUAUGCCGACUAGGGAUCGGAUGAUGUUAAUUUUUAAUGUACUCAUUCGGCGCCUUAC